CUGAGCACCCUCUGGGGAUCUUGUUAAAAUGUUGAUUGAGGUCUGGGGUGUGGUUGGAAGUCUGUGUUUCUAACAGGCUCCCAGGUGAUGUCAGA
rnacentral:pre_miRNA from 1 species